rnacentral:rRNA from 1 species
UCCUACGGGAGGCAGCAGUGGGGAAUAUUGGGCAAUGGGAGAAAUCCUGACCCAGCGACGCCGCGUGAACGAAGAAGGCCUUCGGGUCGUAAAGUUCUUUUAUACUAGAAGAAACAAAUGACGGUAUAGUAUGAAUAAGCCCCGGCUAACUACGUGCCAGCAGCCGCGGUAAUACGUAGGGGGCGAGCGUUGUCCGGAAUUACUGGGCGUAAAGGGCGCGCAGGCUGUUAAUCAAGUCAGCUGUUAAAUGCUAUGGCUUAACCAUGGUAUGCAGUUGAAACUGUUUGACUGGAGUAAUGGAGAGGUAAGCGGAAUUCCCAGUGUAGCGGUGAAAUGCGUAGAUAUUGGGAAGAACAUCGGUGGCGAAGGCGGCUUACUGGCCAUAAACUGACGCUGAGGCGCGAAAGCCAGGGUAGCAAACAGGAUUAGAUACCCUGGUAGUCC